rnacentral:rRNA from 1 species
GUGAGGAAUAUUGGUCAAUGGGCGAGAGCCUGAACCAGCCAAGUCGCGUGAAGGAAGAAGGAUCUAUGGUUCGUAAACUUCUUUUGCAGGGGAAUAAAGUGCAGGACGUGUCCUGUUUUGUAUGUACCCUGAGAAUAAGGAUCGGCUAACUCCGUGCCAGCAGCCGCGGUAAUACGGAGGAUCCGAGCGUUAUCCGGAUUUAUUGGGUUUAAAGGGUGCGUAGGUGGUUUGAUAAGUCAGCGGUGAAAGUUUGCAGCUUAACUGUAAAAAUGCCGUUGAAACUGUCGGACUUGAGUGUAAAUGAGGUAGGCGGAAUGCGUGGUGUAGCGGUGAAAUGCAUAGAUAUCACGCAGAACUCCGAUUGCGAAGGCAGCUUACUAAGCUACAACUGACACUGAAGCACGAAAGCGUGGGGAUCAAACAGGAUUAGAAACCCGAGUAGUCC